rnacentral:rRNA from 1 species
UGGGGAAUAUUGCACAAUGGGGGAAACCCUGAUGCAGCGACGCCGCGUGAACGAAGAAGGUAUUCGUAUCGUAAAGUUCUGUCCUAUGGGAAGAUAAUGACAGUACCAUAGAAGAAAGCUCCGGCUAAAUACGUGCCAGCAGCCGCGGUAAUACGUAUGGAGCGAGCGUUGUCCGGAAUUAUUGGGCGUAAAGGGUACGCAGGCGGUUUAAUAAGUCGAAUGUUAAAGAUCGGGGCUCAACCCCGUAAAGCAUUGGAAACUGAUAAACUUGAGUAGUGGAGAGGAAAGUGGAAUUCCUAGUGUAAUGGUGAAAUGCGUAGAUAUAUGGAGGAACACCGGUGGCGAAAGCGGCUCUCUGGUCUGUAACUGACGCUGAGGCUCGAAAGCGUGGGGAGCGAACAGG